GUUCCAGUAAUUGCAUUAGUUGGUUUUGAACUAUUUGACAGAGGGUUCCUUGUGGUUGGGAGCUGCGUCGAAAUUGGAAUUCCCAUGCUAAUACUGUUUAUAGCCUUAUCUCAGGAUGCCAUCUAAUUUAAAGCAGGGUUAGGAUGCUCACAACACUGGGAUUCAUGUUGGCACCUUGAAAUGAGAGCAGGGAGUGGAUGAAGAAAACUGUCUCAGCAUCAAUGGUAGUGAA